UGGAUAUAGAAACGUGUCCUGUAGUUAUUUUUGUUGUCAAAGCCUUAUCCUCUGUCAAACUGUUUGUUCGAUAGCCUCUUUCAAGUUUCUCAAUAUCUUCCUCUGCUCUCUCAUGCUCUUUCCUUCUUCACUGCUACAGCUUUCCACAUGUGUCUACAAGGUUGAGUAAAGAGUUGAAAAAUGGUGCCAGAAAAAGAUUAAUUGACUGAGGUAGCUUGAACUCUCUCCAUAUAAUGUGGUUUGGAAUGGAAAAUGCCGACUACUAAGCUUGGGACUACUACUCCUGUUCAGUUGGAAUGAUGAAUUUGGAUGUACAUGUGAUGACUGUUUUGCUUUGCUGAUGGCCACGAAUUCGAUCCACAAUGUGUUGAUUUGUUUUACUUGGAUUUAUCAAAGAAGGACUAUCAAGUUACCAUUCAUCGACACAAUGGAUUGGACUCUUUUUCCUUAACAAAAGAUAGAGCUGCAUCAUCGCCGUAUAAUAUUGUUGCAAUCAGGACAAGUACAUCAUGACUUGCUUCAUAAUCUGUUGUUGUCUUUCUAUGAUUUGACUGUCAUGACAAUAAUCCUUUAUGGAAAUAGAUAACACAUCUGGAUUGAAUUCUUAAGUCGAUAAGAUGAAUGCCCUGUAUGUCCAAAACACUUGACAGUAUUGGUUAGGACAAAUACAUUCAUGUUAGGGCUUUCAUUUGUAAUAUGCAGUUGAUCUAUUUCAAUAACUCCAUGUUGGAGUAAAUUAUAUCAUGCCUGUAGUUAUAGCAAGAUAUAUAAAUGCAUCAACUGCACAAAUAUAUGGUAUUUCAGGACCAUUUCAAUUUUCUCAUUUCAGUAGAUAUAAUCAAGUGCUUUUGGAAACUCUUCAAGAGUUCCAAUAAUAUUCAAGUCAUCAACUUGCAUAAUAAUAUGAAAGGUUCUGAUUAUCAUAUAGAGACAAGGGUAAACAUGAUCUUAUUGGUACCCUUCGUCAAUAAAUAUUCAUUAAGGCGAUUUCAGUACAUCAGCCUUGAUUCAUUUAAUCCAUUUAAGGAUUUAUAAACGAGUUUCCCAAGAAUUUGUAUAUGCUUUAGGCAUUUUGAAUCCUUCAGAAAUUUUCAUAUAAAUUUUGUCAAGUAAUUCAUAUAGGAUGUGAAAACAUCUAUUUCUAUUUAAAUGAUAUGACAUCUUCUGGUGUCUGGACAGCAGGUCAAAUAAGCUUUAUGCUUACCAAGAUGCGUCAUUUCACUUGAUAAUAAUUUCUAAGUCAGCAUGCUUUGAUAGACGUAGAAUUUAGAUCCUCACAAUCUUUUACAAUAUUGCGCUAUAUUGUAUCAAAAUAUUGUCGACAAGAUAUCAUGUUGUAUCGGUUCGCAAUUCGACAUAACUUACUGAGAUCUCAUCACUUCAUUAUUUUUAGUUACCUGAACCUCGCAUAAGGUUUCAUGAAGUGUUAUGUCGUCGGCUCUUCAAGAGCACUUUGCCUCCUUAUUAUGAUCAUUUGCUCCUCCUUUUUUUUUUCAAGGAUUAUUAUAUUUGGAACCGAUUGGUCUACCAUGCUCCAUGCAUGUUGUAGACUCUGUCCUUCAGGGACAUUAUGAGCAUUUUGCAGAUGAAAUAUGAAAUAGUUGGGUCAGCAAAUGCUUCCAGCAUUUGACUUGAAUUAUCUGAGGAUCAUACUGAUGAUAAUUCACAACAUAUUUCUUAGCUGCUUAUUCUCUCCCCCUUAUUUUAGUGACAUAUGUCCCUAUUUUCUUUGGGAAAAUCCAUCUGUGUGCAUCAUGGUAUAUCCAUUAAUCAUGUACCACACAUCAAAUGCUAAAAGAUGGAAAUAUCUAGUUCCUGACCCUGAACCAAAUAUGAGGGGAGAAUUUUUCAAAAUUUAUUGAUCUGAAGCACACAAGUGCUGUUGUAUGCAAUAUAUCAUAUCUCAGACCAACAUUUGAAACUCUGUUCCCAUAAGCAAUGGUUUAGCUGUAUUAUGGAGGCAUCUAAUGCCAAACCAACUUAGAUAUAAACCAGCAUUAUCAAGAUGAUUGUCUUGAUUACAUAUUCUGAAAAUUGUGCUUCCAACUCAAUCAUUUUGAGCAAGCAACUUCGUAAAUGUCAAACUGCCAGUUGACAAUAAACAUACAUAUGACCGUCUCAUAGAUGCAUCUAUUUAAGACAUCACAUUACAGGUGAAGGGGCCCACAUUCACCUUUUAUAUUUUUCAGAAUUUUGGGGAUUCAGUCCCAAUAUUAGCUGGUGUAAUCAACUUAUCAUGAGAACAAGCAACACAAACAAAUUCUUGAAGAAUCUUCUAGUUCUUCAAUAUGUUUUUAAUACUCAAUUAGCACAUCAGAUUUAAAUCAGGACGAUCAAAAUGGUCUUGUCAACUGAUAAAAUUAUUUGUACCCGUAAACUUCAAGUUUACCAUGACGAGUGCUAUUUCUUUUGAUAAACUUCUGGUUUACUAUUGCAUGAAAUUGUAUAUCAAUAAACUUCUGGUUUAUUGUGGUAUGUGAUCUCAUCAUGCUCGGGUAACAUUUCACUUGUGUAUUUCUUACCCAUAGUAACUUGAAGAUAUUUAAUAUUCCGAUUAUUUGUAGUCUCAAUAUGAUAACCAUUUUUAUUGUUAGUAAACUUCAGGUCUACUACAGUGUUCCGAUCGUACCAAUUACGAUCUACGAUGAAUGGUAUUAUCAUAUAUAACAUCUUCAAGAGACUUCAAUUUAUUUAUCAUAAUCAGAUAUUAUUUGGACAUUGCUAGUGUCAUGAUACUUGUAAAUAAAUAAUUAUCUCUUCUGGAGAUGGAUCAUGAUAUUUUCACAAUCAAAUGCACGUUUAUAUUUAUAGGCUUUACUACAUAUUAUCACAUUCACUUCAGGGAAUGAAUCUAUAUUUAUAGCUUAUAUCAAAAGUUCUCAUUCUUAAAAAAAUGGAACACAAUCAUCUGAACAUGCAGGCCUUAAGCAUAUCAAAUUGUGAUAGCUUAAAAUUUCUUUUAAAAUAUUGCUACUUCAGGAGCAAAUCGAGAUAUGCAUAUAAUGUAGAGAUUUUUCUCUAACAUAUUUUCAAUAUAAAUCACAAUAUGGAGGCCUAUAUAUGAAUCAUCACUUCCAGUGAUCAUGAUCCAUAAAUAUAAAUAAAUUUAGUGAUACUUUAUACUUGUGAAGUAUGAAUGUCACUUCUGGGAUCAUUCUAACAACAAGUACCAAAUUGAUCAUGAUAUACGCAUAUAUAAACAUAGCAUGUAACAUUAGAAGUGAAUUAAAAAUAUUAAACCAACAAUAAUAAGCAAAAAGGCUCAAAUCACUUUACCUGUGAUGGAAACUGUUUUUAUUAUAAGAUACAAGUAUAACUUACUAGAUAUCCAAACCUCACGAAGAAUUGCAAACAAUACUUGAUUACAUACACUGUCGUGAACCGUUUCCCGGAUGAUUUAUAAUUGCAACCCCUUAAAUAACAAAAACUUCGAUAUAGGCUAAACUCAAAUAAAAUAUUAGAGACUCGUGCUGAUAACGUGUUAUAAAACUAUAUAAUUGGAAAUAAACAAGAGAAGCAAACUAAUAACUUUGUAGAGAGAAGGGAGAGAUUAUAUUUCACUUAUUCUUGAUAUCUCAUAACAAAUUGAGAACUUAACCAUCUAUUUAUAGAGAUGGUAAAUCUCUUGAUGAAGUCAUCAAUGACAACACCAAGAGUUAAAAUCAAACUUGUGUUGCUUCAUUUUCUUCAUUUCAUACAUGCCACCAAAUGUACAUGUACCUACUCUUAUUUAGGACAUGUGGAAAACCUAGACUAUAUGGACAUUCACAUAUAUAUUUUAUAACAUAGACGAUGUAUUUAAGGACUUUUGCACAUAUUAUAAAAAAAGUGUAUCUAUUGUGCACAAUGAUGGCUGGAUAAAUUUAGAUGGUUUACUGUUAGUAGUGGUAAUUUGAGAUAAUGAUAUUUAAUAAUUUGCAGAGUGGUAUGGUAUUUUAGCUUCCAGCUAAAUGUAAUACAAUUUGGGAUUAUAUUGUGCAGAUCCUAAUUAUUCCCCUUACAAAAAAGGAUACUACAGUCUCCAUCUUCUAAGAGUUGAUCAAUAAUCACUUCAUAUUCGGUGCAAUUUUUUGACUACCACUUCUAUCUCCAUGUAUAUUGCACGUGAAAAACGAUAAGUACUUAUUCAACAUACUUUUACAUCAAUACAGUCGUAGCUUUCAUCACCUGUUUUGAUUCCUUAUUGCUAUCGUUCACCACCAAAUGACUGCAAAGCAUCCACCACUUUAAAAUGUAAAAUGAGCAUGGGCCAUACCCCUCUAGUUACUACUAUUUAGAAGCACCAGUUGAGUGCUUUUUCGUCGUCCGUCGUCGUCAGCAUCUUCUGGCUGUACAUUGAUUUAGUUUACCAAGAAAACCAAACCCUUUGAAAGAAUUCCUUUUACGUUCAAUCUCCUUUAUUCAAGCUUACACGUGUCCUUAAAUGUAUUUCUCAGUGGGCCCACUUCUCUUUGUGAUUGAGGCUGACAAGUUUUUGCAUAUGGUAACCUUUUACUAUAGCUAAUUUGGUUCUAGAAAAUUCUUUGUAUAGGUGUUGUACCAAAUAUUAUAUAGUAAAACACAAUCAAGAUGGAAAAAAAAAACUGCAAAGCCAAAAUAUUCCUAGAUGGACUCUUCCUCUGUUUUUCCUUACUCUAUUUAUAUCAGUUACAUUUGGAUUACUUAGAAAGGCAUGCUUAGUAAUUAAAAAUAUUGGGCCCCAUAUUAAACAGGCCCAUAACAAAAAAAAGAAAAAAAAAUGUGGGCCUCAUAUAUAUCAAACAACAACUAAUAUUAAAAAAAAAUUGUGGGUCUCAUAUUAAACACCAACCAGUAUUAAAAAAAAAAACCGAUGGAACCCACCACAUCCAAACUCACGUGAAAAAAAAAGUGAACCCCAUAUUAACAAAAUCAAGCAAUAUUAAAAAAAAAAUUAAUCCCAUAUUAAAAAACAAUUGAACCAGUAUUAAAAAAAAGGAGAAGAAAAAAAAGUGGAACCCACCACAUCCAAACUCACGGGAAAAAAAAAAGUGAACCCCAUAUUAACAGAAUCAAGCAAAAAAAUUUGUGGGCCCCAUAUAUAUUAAACAACAACUAAUAUUUUAAAAAAAAUUAUGGGCCCCAUAUUAAACACCAACCAGUAUUAAAAAAAAAGGAAGAAAAGAAGUGAAACCCACCACAUCCAAACUCACGAGAAAAAAAAUGGACCCCAUAUUAACAAAAUCAAGCAAUAUUAAAAAAAAAAGUGAAUCCCAUAUUAAAAAAACAAACAAUGUUAAAAAAAAGUGGAACCCACCACAUCCAAACUCACGGGGGAAAAAAAAGUGGACCCCAUAUUAACAAAAGCAAGCAAUAUUAAAAAAAAAAGUGAAUCCCAUAUUAAUAAAACAAACAAUGUUAAAAAACAAAUGCUUAGAAAAUCAAACAAUUAAAUCAAUAAUGAUGGACUCAUUGCCACAUGUGUAUCAACCCAUUAGUGGCAGCAAAUGAAAUUAUUGUACAGCAGCAUACUUAAAAUACUUAUAUAUUAAAAUAAGAUAGAAUUUAAUUACUUUUUCAUUUUUUCCUUACUCUAAUAAAUGUGAAAAGAGAUUAAUGUCAUAAAAGAAAAAAUAAUAUUAAAUGGAGAUCAAAUAAUUAAUAAGCUAAAUUAGUGAAAUUAUAAUUCUAAUUAACGUUUCCUUAAAAAAUCGUGUAAAAAAUAACAUGACAAGUAAAAUGAGUUAAACAAAAAAUAUUUACUAAAAAUUAAAAAAUAGAAGUUUUUCAUGGCCCCAUAUUAAACACCAACCAGUAUUAAAAAAAAAAAAAAAA